ACCUCAGUGGCUCAGUCGGAUAGAGUGUCUGCCAUGUAAGCAGGAGGUCCUGGGUUUGAGUCCCAGUUGGGGCA